AGAGUUUGAUCAUGGCUCAGAGCGAACGUUAGCGGCAGGCCUAACACAUGCAAGUCGCGCGAGAAUAGGGUCUUCGGACCCUUAGUAAAGCGGCGGACGGGUGCGUAACACGUGGGUAAUGUGCCCUUCAGCGGGGGACAACAGUCCGAAAGGACUGCUAAUACCGCAUACGUCGGCGAGAUCUUCGGGUCUUGUCGGGAAAGGUGGCCUCUUCAUGAAAGCUACCACUGAAGGAGCAGCCCGCGGCCCAUCAGCUAGUUGGCGAGGUAAUGGCUCACCAAGGCGAAGACGGGUAGCUGGUCUGAGAGGAUGAUCAGCCACACUGGAACUGAGACACGGUCCAGACUCCUACGGGAGGCAGCAGUGGGGAAUAUUGGGCAAUGGGCGCAAGCCUGACCCAGCCAUGCCGCGUGAGUGAUGAAGGCCUUCGGGUCGUAAAGCUCUGUGGGGAGGGACGAAACCGCUCGGCGAUAAUACCGCCGGGUCUUGACGGUACCUCCUUAGCAAGCACCGGCUAACUCCGUGCCAGCAGCCGCGGUAAUACGGAGGGUGCAAACGUUGCUCGGAAUCAUUGGGCGUAAAGCGCACGUAGGCGGCCCGCUAAGUCGGAUGUGAAAUCCCUCGGCUCAACCGAGGACGUGCAUUCGAUACUGGCAGGCUUGAAUAUGGAAGAGGGUCGCGGAAUUCCCGGUGUAGAGGUGAAAUUCGUAGAUAUCGGGAGGAACACCAGUGGCGAAGGCGGCGACCUGGGCCAAUAUUGACGCUGAGGUGCGAAAGCAUGGGGAGCAAACAGGAUUAGAUACCCUAGUAGUCC
rnacentral:rRNA from 1 species